rnacentral:rRNA from 1 species
CAGUAGCCGCGGUAAUACGUAGGUCCCGAGCGUUGUCCGGAUUUAUUGGGCGUAAAGCGAGCGCAGGCGGUUAGAAAAGUCUGAAGUGAAAGGCAGUGGCUCAACCAUUGUAGGCUUUGGAAACUGUUUAACUUGAGUGCAGAAGGGGAGAGUGGAAUUCCAUGUGUAGCGGUGAAAUGCGUAGAUAUAUGGAGGAACACCGGUGGCGAAAGCGGCUCUCUGGUCUGUAACUGACGCUGAGGCUCGAAAGCGUGGGGAGCGAACAGGAUUAGAUACCCCAGUAGUCCCUGUCUCUUAUACA